rnacentral:rRNA from 1 species
AGAGUUUGAUCCUGGCUCAGAUUGAACGCUGGCGGCGUGCUUAACACAUGCAAGUCGAUCGGUAACAGGUGUAGCAAUACAUGCUGACGAGAGGCGGACGGGUGAGGAAUAUUUGGGAAUCUGCCCAUCAGCGGGGGACAACCCGGGGAAACCCGGGCUAAUACCGCAUACGCUCUACGGAGGAAAGCCGGGGACCGCAAGGCCUGGCACUGAUGGAUGAGCCCAAAUCGGAUUAGCUAGUUGGCGGGGUAACGGCCCACCAAGGCGACGAUCCGUAGCUGGUCUGAGAGGACGAUCAGCCACACCGGAACUGAGACACGGUC